rnacentral:rRNA from 1 species
UCCUGACACAGGGAGGUAGUGACAAGAAAUAACAAUACAGGGCUCUUCGAGUCUUGUAAUUGGAAUGAGUACAAUUUACAUCUCUUCACGAGGAUCAAUUGGAGGGCAAGUCUGGUGCCAGCAGCCGCGGUAAUUCCAGCUCCAAUAGCGUAUACUAAAGUUGUUGCAGUUAAAACGCUCGUAGUCGGAUUUCGGGGCGGGCCCGCCGGUCUGCCGAUGGGUAUGCACUGGUGGGCGCGUCCUUCCUCCCGGAGACGGCUGCUACUCUUAACUGAGCGGUGGCCGGAGACGGGAUAUUUACUUUGGAAAAAUCAGAGUGUUUCAAGCAGGCAGUCGCUCUUGCAUGGAUUAGCAUGGGAUAAUGAAAUAGGACUCUGGUGCUAUUUUGUUGGUUUCGAGCACCGGAGUAAUGAUUAACAGGGACA